rnacentral:rRNA from 1 species
UUUAAUCUGAGAGUUUGAUCCUGGCUCAGAACGAACGCUGGCGGUGCGCCUAACACAUGCAAGUCGAACGGGGUGCAUAUUGAAGUUGACUUCGGUUGACAGAUUUAUGUUACCUAGUGGCGAACGGGUGAGUAACACAUAGGUAACCAACCCUUAGGACUGGGAUACUCCCGGGAAACCGGGCCCAAUACCGGAU